GGUGAAGCAAACAACCUUACAUGAUGUGAGUGGUCCUUGUGCCCAGUUGAAGCCAUGCACUGUGCACUGGAGAGGCAGAGCAUCCUGCCUUCCACAGCCGUGCACACCAGUCCCUGUGCACAAGUGGCCACCCACCCAGCGAAUCGACGUGGUGUGCUUAUCAAAAUCUGUGUGUCUGUGGGCCAGAGCCAAAUCCAGGCUGUCUGGGACUCUCAGUGAAAAGACCGGCCAUGUGUGCCUCCAGAUGGUACUAGAUCCAGGUGCUAGAACAAGAUGAGCAAGUGAAUCUCUCAUACUUCAGAUCCUUCAAGGAUCUUGAAAAGAGCGCUGGAAUCAAAGGCGAACGCCACCACUGCCCGGCCUUGUUUUGUUUUUAAAGACAGUUUUCGGCACACAGAGAGGCUGUGAGUUAGGACGGGGGUUUCUUGCCGUUGCCACCAUUCUCAUUGACACGUUAUGCUGCACACAGCAGAGCCCCAUCCUGAAUGCCCAGCGGUGCCCACAGCCAGGAGGAGCAUUCGAUGUGUGAUGACUCAUCUCGUGCAUCAGACGCUCUCUAAAGUUCCCACAGAUUAUACCAUGGCUUAGUGAGUGCGAUUCUAAGACAGUUCCAAAAGACUUUUCAAUCCGUGGGAGUUUCAAAGUGGAUUCUCAGACAAACAUGGGGAGGACUGAGGCAGGCUUGGACACGCACAGAAUCAGACAACGAUGGUCCGGAGUUCAAAUCCCUGCAACCACAUGGUGGCUCACAACCAACUGUAAUGAGAUCUGGCGCCCUCUUCUGGAGUGUCUGAAGACAGAUACAGUGUACUUACAUAUAGUAAAUAAAUAAAUCUUAA
rnacentral:lncRNA from 1 species